rnacentral:misc_RNA from 1 species
GUGAAUUUGUUCUUGCUUCAACCAUGAUGUUCCUAGUGAUCGCCGCCUCUCUCUUCGCUGUGUCCCAGGCCCAAGUGUUCGGAGGACUUGGUUGUCCCACCACCAACACUGUGGCCAACUUCAACCUGACCAGGUAUCUUGGAACAUGGUAUGAAAUUUACAAAUUUAAAGCCAAUUUCGAGAACAAUCAGAAAUGUAUCCAGGCCAACUAUCAACUGAAAGCCGACGGACACAUCCGAGUAAACAACACCGGAAUUUCUAUAAGGUACGUCUAAUAAAUUAUCUAUGUAGGUCCCUGACCAGACUAUUGACCUAUAUUAAUAUAUGCAGAACAUGUAUCCGACAGCUGGAAUAACAUUACAUGAAACUAUAUGAUAUAUUUCAAAAUUGCCAACGUUGUCAAAAUGAGUUCAUCUUUUUCCUCUGUCUUGUGUAUAGUGACGGAAUGCCCAGUACGGCCAUAGGAGACAUCUACAUUCCUGACGUCAACGACGGGUCCAAACUGAAGGUCAAAUUCGCUUCCGGUAAGAUUUUGCAUGUACGCUAGAGAUGUGCAAAAUAUAGCUACUGUCCUGAAGAUAACUACAAUUUGAAGUUUAAAACCAGUUUGAAUAUAUUUUACUUUCAAAUUUAUAAAAGAAUUUUAGGGGGCGUUUGAAUAGUGAUUAUUUAAGCUAAAAAAUUUGAUUGCAAUGAAGAAAAGAGAUUUUUAAUUUUUCUGAAUUUGCAGUGUAAAACAAUCACGCUUCUUUUCGAAAUCAAAUAUUAACAUCUUCUUUUUAAAAAUCUUUUAAAAAAAUCGAUUGUAUUCAUAGAGCGACAGGCAUUAAACGAAUGAUGAGAUUCCAUAACAUAUACAUGUCUGCGACCCCUAUUGACAAAAUAAACUACAGAAAAAUAUACCAUGAUUUUGAGUAAAUAGAAUUUGAAUUUUCUCAUUAAUGUCAAUAAGUUUGAAUCUUUUUUGUUACUGGAAAAUUGUCGAUAUAUCUAUGAUUCUUUAGAUUUGAUAACAGCAAAUUGAAACUUGUGAAGUGAAUAAAUAUGUAUAGAAUAUAACUAUGGACGAAACAGAUGAUAUAUGCAUUUAACGAAAUAUAAAGACCAAACAUGACCUCUCUACACUUGUACAUAGGGCAAACCCCUAAUUUAUAUAUCCCUAUGUGUAUCACCAAGGAGAGCAUUUUAUUGUUUAGUUGCUCUAUUGGUAUAUGCUAUUUUCUAGAAGAGAUAUAGUUUUAAACUAUCAAACAACUUGUUUUGUUAGAUGUCAUCAGUCAGGAUUUUGUAUUUUGCAGCUGCACCUUAUGGAAACUACUGGGUUUUAGACACAGAUUAUGAACACUACACACUCAUCUAUUCCUGUACCAGCAUUCUUGGAAUCAGCCAUUUUGAAUUUGGGUGGAUAUUGGCGCGAACAAGAACCAUUCCCGAUGCAACGACCCAAAAACUGUUCGGUAUCAUGGAAAAUUUCCAUAUCAACAGCCACCAUUUUAUGAAGACUGACCAAACCGGCUGUUAAAUCCAUUCCUUUGUUAUGUCGUAUUAUCAUCAUCUUUGUGUACAUGCUUUGACUGUUACUGCUAUUUCUGUUGAGUGCUUUAUGGUUAUACUUGUUAUUUUAUAUAAAAUUAUGAAAAUAAGAU